GACCUAACCCUUGUGGCAGUUGCUACGAGAUAUGGUCUCGAAAAGCGCGACGAACAUAGAAAACCCGUUAUCAGAGCGUUCGUCGCGUUACCAGUGGAAACGCUGGUAGAAGUUGCCGCAAGGCGCUUU
rfam:Parcubacteria (Giovannonibacteria) bacterium GW2011_GWA2_45_21 TX06_C0024, whole genome shotgun sequence.